rnacentral:tRNA from 1 species
GGUAAGGUGACAGAGCUUGGUAAUGUGCCCGGUUAAGACCCCGAGGCCUGUGUGCUCGUACCACGCAGACGGGGGUUCAAAACCCUCCCUUACCG